rnacentral:rRNA from 1 species
AGCGAACGCUGGCGGCAGGCUUAACACAUGCAAGUCGAGCGGACCUUUCGGGGUCAGCGGCGGACGGGUGAGUAACGCGUGGGAACGUGCCUUCCGGUUCGGAAUAACCCUGGGAAACUAGGGCUAAUACCGGAUACGCCCUUACGGGGAAAGGUUUACUGCCGGAAGAUCGGCCCGCGUCUGAUUAGCCAGUUGGUGGGGUAACGGCCUACCAAGGCGACGAUCAGUAGCUGGUCUGAGAGGAUGAUCAGCCACACUGGGACUGAGACACGGCCCAGACUCCUACGGAGGGCAGCAGUGGGGAAUAUUGGGCAAUGGGCGCAAGCCUGAUCCAGCCAUGCCGCGUGAGUGAUGAGGGCCUUAGGGUUGUAAAGCUCUUUUAUCCGGGACGAUAAUGACGGUACCGGAGGAAUAAGCCCCGGCUAACUUCGUG